rnacentral:rRNA from 1 species
AGUGGGGAAUAUUGCACAAUGGAGGAAACUCUGAUGCAGCAACGCCGCGUGGAGGAUGACGCAUUUCGGUGUGUAAACUCCUUUUAUAUAGGAAGAUAAUGACGGUACUAUAUGAAUAAGCACCGGCUAACUCCGUGCCAGCAGCCGCGGUAAUACGGAGGGUGCAAGCGUUACUCGGAAUCACUGGGCGUAAAGCGCAUGCAGGCGGUUUAUUAAGUUGGAAGUGAAAUCCUAUGGCUCAACCAUAGAACUGCUUCCAAAACUGAUAAACUAGAGUCUGGGAGGGGAAGAUGGAAUUAGUAGUGUAGGGGUAAAAUCCGUAGAGAUUACUAGGAAUACCAAAAGCGAAGGCGAUCUUCUGGAACAGUACUGACGCUGAGAUGCGAAAGCGUGGGGAGCAAACAGGAUUAGAUACCCUGGUAGUCCACGCAGUAAACGAUGAAUGUUAGUCGUUGGGACUCUAGUAGUUUCAGUGAUGCAGUUAACACAUUAAACAUUCCGCCUGGGGAGUACGGUCGCAAGAUUAAAACUCAAAGGAAUAGACGGGGACCCGCACAAGUGGUGGAGCAUGUGGUUUAAUUCGAAGAUACGCGAAGAACCUUACCUAGCCUUGACAUACUACAGAAUUUGACAGAGAUGUUGGAGUGCCUUCGGGAGCUGUAAUACAGGUGCUGCACGGCUGUCGUCAGCUCGUGUCGUGAGAUGUUGGGUUAAGUCCCGCAACGAGCGCAACCCUCGUCCUUAGUUACUAACGGUUCGGCCGAGGACUCUAAGGAGACUGCCUUCGUAAGGAGGAGGAAGGUGAGGACGACGUCAAGUCAUCAUGGCCCUUACGGCCAGGGCAACACACGUGCUACAAUGGUUAGGACAAUGAGAAGCGAUACCGCGAGGUGGAGCAAAUCUAUAAACCUAAUCUCAGUUCGGAUAGCAGUCUGCAACUCGACUGCUUGAAGCUGGAAUCACUAGUAAUCGUAAAUCAGCUAUGUUACGGUGAAUACGU